GUGCUUGUUUUGGAAGCAUAUAUACUAAAAUUGGAAUGAUACUGAGAAGAUUAGUAUAGCCUCUGUGCUAAGAAAGUAUGCAAAUUCGUGAAGUGUGCCAUCUUUUU